CUGGUAGGAAAGGUCCGGCUCCGGGAGGGAGCCCAGGGAGGUGAAGAGUGGUUCGGUGACGAAGCGCGCCUUGGACUGGAGGAAGGCCAGGAUACGGGCGUAUUUGGUGUCUUUGGUCUCCAUCCUCUCCACCGUCGUCAGCUAUAGUCCUGCUCUGUGUCUUCCUCGUCUGUCCCAGUGGAAAGACCAUGCUCCUCUAAUUCUGCUCACCUGCCAUGAAUGGUGGAAUCAGCAGAGAAGCCAAUGAUGUAUGGGCUGGAUGAGCAGUUGGUGAGGUGGAUUGAAAACUGGCUGAAUUGCCAAGCUCAGAGACGAUCAGUGGCACCAAGGCUAGCAUCCAGUAACUAGUGUUGUACCCAGGGGAUCAAUAGUGGGUCUAGUCCCGUUAAACAUCUUAAUGACCUGGAUGAUGGGACAGAGUGUACCCUCAGCAAGUUCUCAAGUCACACAAAACUGUGAGGAGCAGCUGAUACACCAGAGAGUUGUGUGUCCAUCCAGAGUGAUCUCAGCAAGCUGGAGAAAUGGGCUAUUUGAAACCUCAUGAAGUUCAGCUAUGGGAACCGCAAAGUCCUGCACCUGGGGAGGAACAACCCCCUGCACCAGUACAUGCUGAGGGAUGACUGGCUAGAAAGCAGCUUUGCAGAAAAGGACUUGGGGGUUCUGGUGGACACCAAGUUGAACAUGAGCCAGCAAAGUGCCCUUGCAGCAAAGAAGGCUAAUGGGAUCCUGGGCUGCAUUAGGAGACAUGUUGCCAGCAGGUCAAGGAAGGUGAUCUGUCCUCUCUACUCAGCACUGGGGAGUCCACGCUUGGAGAGCUAAGACCAGUUCUGGGCUGCCCAGUACAAGACAGAGAUGAACAUACUGGAGAGAGUCCAGCAAAGGGCGACAAGGCUGAUUGAGGGACUGGGGCACCUCAUGUAUGAGAAGACACUGAGAAAGCUGUGACUGUUCAGACUGGAGAAGACACAGGGAGAAACUUAUCAAUAUGUACAAAUACCUGAAGGAAGGGUGUAAAGUUGGAGGCAGCCUCUUCUCAGUGGUGCCCAGUGACAGGACCAGAGGCAAAGGGCACAAACUGAAACACAAGAGUUUCUGUCUAAACAAGGAAAAAAACUUUUCUGCCCUGAGGCUGGUCAAUUGUUGGAACAAGUCGUGGGGUCUCCAUCCUUGGAGAUAUUCAAAAGCCAUCUUGACAUGGUCCUGAGCAAUUGGCUGUAGGUGGCCAUGUUCAAGCAGAGAGGUUGGAUCAGAUGACAUCCAGAGCUGCCUGCCAACCUCAGCCAUCCUGUGAUUCUGUAAUUCUGUCAGCUGCCUCUGUGAACAUUUAGUCCCAAUGCAAUUUAGUCCUGGUUUGGUUUGGUAUAAAAGAAAUGUAUUUUAACUUCCUUAAGUUGGAGAGCAGAUUCAGCUCUUUUACUCUGUUCUCAAUAGGAAGUGAUUCAUUUAGAUUCAGGGCUUCUACACCUGUGUCAAGCAGAAUAAAUGAGAGGGAAGCACAGCUUUUUUGUUUAUUGUACUUCACCACGUGUUGCAUUGUAACUCGACUCAUUAAAGACUCGUUAACAUCCAUUAUA